AAGUAACGUUACAUGUACUCGAGUACUGGGGUAACAGGUAACUAAGUAACGUUACAUGUACUCGAGUACUGGGGUAACAGGUAACUAAGUAACGUUACAUGUACUCGAGUACUGGGGUAACAGGUAACUAAGUAACGUUACAUGUACUCGAGUACUGGGGUAACAGGUAACUAAGUAACGUUACAUGUACUCGAGUACUGGGGUAACAGGUAACUAAGUAACGUUACAUGUACUCGAGUACUGGGGUAACUAAGUAACGUUACAUGUACUCGAGUACUGGGGUAACAGGUAACUAAGUAACGUUACAUGUACUCAGGUACCGGGGUAACUAAGUAACGUUACAUGUACUCGAGUACUGGGGUAACAGGUAACUAAGUAACGUUACAUGUACUCGAGUACCAGGGUAAAAGAGACAAACAAGGUCAACAAAGCUUUUAAAAAA